rnacentral:rRNA from 1 species
GUGCCAGCCGCCGCGGUAAUACGUAGGGUGCAAGCGUUAAUCGGAAUUACUGGGCGUAAAGCGUGCGCAGGCGGUUGUGCAAGACAGGUGUGAAAUCCCCGGGCUUAACCUGGGAACUGCACUUGUGACUGCACGGCUGGAGUACGGCAGAGGGGGAUGGAAUUCCGCGUGUAGCAGUGAAAUGCGUAGAUAUGCGGAGGAACACCGAUGGCGAAGGCAGUCCCCUGGGCCUGUACUGACGCUCAUGCACGAAAGCGUGGGGAGCAAACAGGAUUAGAUACCCUGGUAGUCCACGCCCUAAACGAUGUCAACUGGUUGUUGGGAAGGUUUCUUCUCAGUAACGUAGCUAACGCGUGAAGUUGACCGCCUGGGGAGUACGGCCGCAAGGUUGAA